UACGGGAUAAUAUAUUUGAGAGGCAUCUCUUAAAUAUCAAAGGUGAGCCAGUACAGGAUGGACCCGCGUCUGAUUAGCUAGUUGGUAAGGUAACGGCUUACCAAGGCGACGAUCAGUAGCCGACCUGAGAGGGUGAUCGGCCACAUUGGAACUGGGACACGGUCCAAACUCCUACGGGAGGCAGCAGUGGGGAAUAUUGCACAAUGGGCGAAAGCCUGAUGCAGCAACGCCGCGUGAGUGAUGAAGGCCUUCGGGUCGUAAAACUCUGUCCUCAAGGAAGAUAAUGACGGUACUUGAGGAGGAAGCCCCGGCUAACUACGUGCCAGCAGCCGCGGUAAUACGUAGGGGGCUAGCGUUAUCCGGAUUUACU
rnacentral:rRNA from 1 species